AUAUUUUACAGGCAUUCAACAACACAGGAUAACCUAUGGCCAAAACUACCAUAAACUUCAUGCUAUCAUACCAGAAAAGAAUAUACUCAGAGGUUUUCAGGAAUCCAUUCCCCUACGUUCCUCUCAGAGAUUACCAAUAGCCAUCCAACUUUUCAUCCUUAUCGGACCUAUUAGAUCUACAACCAUUUAAUUAUACUACCAAGUCGGCCAUUACCAGCCAUGCACAUUGCCUUUUAUGCCUUUCUCAGGCCAGAGAAU